rnacentral:rRNA from 1 species
UCAAAUGAAUCGACGGGGAGCACCACAACGGGUGGAGCUUGCGGUUUAAUUGGAUUCAACGCCGGAAAUCUUACCGGGACCGACAGCAAUAUGAAGGCCAGGCUGAAGACUUUGCCGGAUUAGCUGAGAGGUGGUGCAUGGCCGUCGUCAGUUCGUACUGUGAAGCAUCCUGUUAAGUCAGGCAACGAGCGAGACCCACGCCCACAGUUGCCAGCGUACUCUCUGGAGUGACGGGUACACUGUGGGACCGCCGCUGCUAAAGCGGAGGAAGGAAUGGGCAACGGUAGGUCAGUAUGCCCCGAAUAUCCCGGGCUACACGCGAGCUACAAUGGUUGGUACAAUGGGUAUCUACCCCGAAAGGGGACGGGAAUCUCCUAAAACCAAUCUUAGUUCGGAUUGAGGGCUGCAACUCGCCCUCAUGAAGCUGGAAUCCGUAGUAAUCGCGUUUCAACAGAACGCGGUGAAUACGUCCCUGCUCCUU